rnacentral:tRNA from 1 species
GGAGCCAUCGCCAAGUGGUAAGGCAGUGGUCUGCAAAACCACCAUCCCCGGUUCAAAUCCGGGUGGCUCCU